AUGAACGCUGGCGGCGUGCCUAAUACAUGCAAGUCGAGCGAACAGACGAGGAGCUUGCUCCUUUGACGUUAGCGGCGGACGGGUGAGUAACACGUAGGUAACCUACCUAUAAGACUGGGAUAACUUCGGGAAACCGGAGCUAAUACCGGAUAAUAUUUCGAACCGCAUGGUUCGAUAGUGAAAGAUGGCUUUGCUAUCACUUAUAGAUGGACCUGCGCCGUAUUAGCUAGUUGGUAAGGUAACGGCUUACCAAGGCAACGAUACGUAGCCGACCUGAGAGGGUGAUCGGCCACACUGGAACUGAGACACGGUCCAGACUCCUACGGGAGGCAGCAGUAGGGAAUCUUCCGCAAAGGGCGAAAGCCUGACGGAGCAACGCCGCGUGAGUGAUGAAGGUCUUCGGAUCGUAAAACUCUGUUAUUAGGGAAGAACAAACGUGUAAGUAACUGUGCACGUCUUGACGGUACCUAAUCAGAAAGCCACGGCUAACUACGUG
rnacentral:rRNA from 1 species